GGAGAGGUGGCCGAGCGGUUUAAGGCAACAGUCUUGAAAACUGUCAGCCGCGAAAGCGGCUCGCGAGUUCGUGGGGCAUACGCCCCACGCCC
rnacentral:tRNA from 1 species